AAAGUUUGAUCCUGGCUCAGAAGGAACGCUAGCUAUAUGCUUAACACGUGCAAGUCGAACAUUGUUUUCGGGGAGCUGGGCAGAAGGAAAAGAGGCUCCUAGCUAAUGGUAGCUUGUCUCGCCCAAGAGGUGAGAAGAGUUGAGAACAAACUGGCGAACGAGUGCGUAACACAUGGGAAUCUGCCGAACAGUUCGGGCCAAAUCUUGAAGAAAGCUAAAAAGCAUUAUUUGAUUAGCCUGCGUAGUAUUAGGUAGUUAUUCUGGUAAAGGCUGACCAAGCCAAUGAUGCUUAGCUGGUCUUUUCGGAUGAUCAGCCACACUGGGACUGAGACACGACCUAGACUCCUAUGGGGGCAGCAGUGGGGAAUCUUGGACAAUGGGAGAAAGCCCGAUCCAGCAAUAUCGCGUGAGUAAAGAAGGGCAAUGCCUCUUGUAAAGCUCUUUCGUCGGGUGUGCGAUUAUGAUAGGACUCGAGGAAGAAACCCCGGCUAACUCUGUGCCAGCGGCCACUGUAAGAUGGAAGGGGGGGCAAGUGUUCUUCGGGAUGACUGGGCGUAAAGGGCACGGAGGCGGUGAAUCGGGUUGAAAGUGAAAGUAGCCAAAAACUGGCGGAAUGCUCUCGAAACCAAUUCACAUGAGUGAGACAAAGGAGAGUGGAAUUUCUUGAGUAGGGGUGAAAUCCGGAGGUACGAAAGCAUGGGGAGCGGACAAGAUUAGUCUAUGCGGAUAAGGGGCCUUGCUAACGCGUGAAACACUCCGGCUAGGGAGUACGGUCGCAAGACCGAAACUCAAAAAAAUUGACGGGGCAUGCACAAGCGGUGGAGCAUGUGGUUUAAUUUGAUAAAAUGCACAAAACCUUACCAGCCCUUGACAUAUGAUCAAGAAAACAUGUCCUUAAUGGGAUGGUACUGACUUUCAUGCAGGUGUUGCAUGGCGGUCGUCAGCUCGUGUCAUGAGAUGUUUGGUCAAGUCCUAUAACGAGUGAAUACUUUAUUUUGUGUUGCUGAUGCAUGCGCCUAAGGAGAAAGUCUUCCCAACCGAAGUGAACCGAGGAGCGGAGUGACAUGCCAGCGCUAAUAAUUGAGUGCCAGCACCUAGCUAUGCUGUCAGUAAGAAGGUAGUCGGCGCCUUUCGAAGCACUUUCUAUUUCUAGAUAGAAAGGGCCUUUCUCGCUUGUUUAGUACAAUCAUGUUUUUGGCCUUAUCUUGUAGGUGACGAUGACAUCGAGUUGACGGCAUAAAAAUACUCGGCAUUCAGGCGAGCCACCCAGUGGUGUGGUACGUAGUGGGUUUAAUACGCCCCACCGAAACAAACGGCUCCGAAACAAACAAAAAGGUGUGUGCCGCACUCACGAAGGACUGCCAGUGAUAUACUUGAGGAAGGUGGGGAUGACGUCAAGUCCGCAUGGCCCUUAUGGGCUAGGCCACACACUUGCUACAAUGGUGUUUACAAUAGGAAGCAAGGCUGUAAGGUGGAGCGAAUUCGGAAAGAUCGCCUCAGUUCGGAUUGUUCUCUGCAACUUGGGAACAUGAAGUUGGAAUCGCUAGUAAUCGCAGAUCAACAUGUCUUGGUGAAUAUGUACCCGGGCCCUGUACACACCGCCCGUCACACCCUGGGACUUUGUUUCGCCCGAAACAUCGGACCAAUGAUCACCCAUGACUUUUGUGGCACACUAGUGCCACAAAUGCCUUUGGUGGUCUUAUUGGCGCAUACCACGGUGGGUUUUUGACUAGGGUGAAUUUGUAACAAGGUAUACGUAGGGUAACCUGUGGUUG
rnacentral:rRNA from 1 species